rnacentral:rRNA from 1 species
CUUUCCUUGCCGGCGACCGGCGCACGGGUGAGUAACACGUAUGCAACCUGCCCCUGUCAGGGGGACAACCCGCCGAAAGGCGGGCUAAACCCGCGUACAUGCCACCGGGGCAUCCCGGAGGCAGGAAAGGCUUCGGCCGGACAGGGAUGGGCAUGCGGCGCAUUAGGCAGUAGGCGGGGUAACGGCCCACCUAACCGACGAUGCGUAGGGGUUCUGAGAGGAAGGUCCCCCACACUGGUACUGAGACACGGACCAGACUCCUACGGGAGGCAGCAG